rnacentral:rRNA from 1 species
UACGUAGGGGGCUAGCGUUGUCCGGAAUCAUUGGGCGUAAAGCGCGCGUAGGCGGCCCGGUAAGUCCGCUCUGAAAGUCCAGGGCUCAACCCUGGAAAGCGGGUGGAUACUGCCGGGCUAGAAUCCGGAAGAGGCGAGUGGAAUUCCUGGUGUAGCGGUGGAAUGCGCAGAUAUCAGGAGGAAUACCGGUGGCGAAAGCGACUCUCUGGACGGCAACUGACGCUGAGGCACGAAAGCGUGGGGAGCAAACAGG